rnacentral:rRNA from 1 species
UCCGUAGGUGGAUCAAUCAGUCAGAGGUGAAAUCCUGCAGCUUAACUGUAGAACUGCCUUUGAUACUGUUGAUCUUGAGUCAUUAUGAAGUGGUUAGAAUGUGUAGUGUAGCGGUGAAAUGCAUAGAUAUUACACAGAAUACCGAUUGCGAAGGCAGAUCACUAAUAAUGUACUGACACUGAGGGACGAAAGCGUGGGGAGCGAACAGGAUUAGAUACCCUGGUAGUC